rnacentral:lncRNA from 1 species
GUUGUGUACAAGUUGUAAUGUUGUACAAAUUACAAUUUGUACAGAUUUUUUGUUCAAGUUAUCAGUGUUUUAUGACCUGCUGAACACAAAUGGAUGAUGCAAGCACACAGUCUUUUGCUUCGCAUAUUUCUGUCAUAUUUUCACAACUUCAUGAUACAGUCUAAUACUGUGCAUUGAUACAAAAACAUUAUAAGACCACACAAAUAUUUUGUAUGAAUAUUGAAUAUUGUAUAAGGAAAAAAAUAAAAUUAGAAUUUAAACCAUUCAGGUAUCCUCAUUUCCAGUUUAAAGACAAGGAGAAUUGCACUAAAUUUUAGGUUGAAGUAUAUUUUUUGGAAUUUAAAAUAUAACACUAGUACAUUUUAUAAGAUAAACCUGUAUCACCUGUUGCAAGAAGGUAUGUGUCAAAAAACUUAUAACUUGU